rnacentral:lncRNA from 1 species
UGGCCCAAGAAAGAAAAUCAUUCUAAAAUUUGACAGAUGUCUAAGUGAUGACAGUGAGCACUGUAUCUUCAGAGACAGAGGUGCAUAGGGUCUUCUUAUCUGAAGGGGAGGCUCAGCCUAGGACUCCAGCACAUGACCUCACUUCCUUGGUGACAGGUCCAAACAGACCUUGGAACCCUGUCACCAGGCACCACGGUCUAGCGCCAACUGCCCUCCCAGUCACUUGGCUGGAAAUAGGCAGCAGCGAACAUGCUGUGCUGCUUUCCCAGGCCUCCAGGCCGCAGCCUCGGACCCCACGCAGGGAAACCACUUGCCAACGAGUGAGAGGAUGGUUCACUCGGCCCAGAAGCUUCAGGACCCUCAUCAGGAACCACCCAACAGUCACGGGCAGCCCAGGGCAGGUCUCACCAGACCCAGCCCCCAGAUGCCCAGAGACGAGAGAGAGCCCAGGGCAGGUGUCCCGAGGCCUGACUUUCAUCUGCUCAGAGGCACCGAAUCCACUACAGGUCUAUGUAGACCUGGACACCACUAUGGGAAAUCAGUAUUCCCAGAGCCUGGCAGAGGGCUGCACAGCGAGCAAGGUGCAGGCAAAUGCACUGCACACCCUGACAGAGGCCCCAGAACAGGACUUCCUGGAUAGGAAGAGCAGUGCCAGCUCCAGCCUCCGAUGAAGUCCCACCUGCUGACCUCCUGCCCACUCCACCUGCAGCUCCCUCACCAGCUCUGGCCCCACAACGAGAGCCAACACCUGGAACCUCUUCACCAGCUGCAGAGCUGGAACUCCUGGUGGCUCAACAGCAGAUCUCAUCUCUUGAACUCUACAGGGAGGUCUACAGAGCUCUUGACCCACACCCGCCAUUCCCC